AUUGAACGCUGGCGGAAUGCUUUACACAUGCAAGUCGAACGGUAGAGGGGGCAACCCUCGAGAGUGGCGAACGGGUGAGUAAUAUAUCGGAACGUGCCCAGUCGUGGGGGAUAACGUAGCGAAAGUUACGCUAAUACCGCAUACGAUCUACGGAUGAAAGCGGGGGACUCGCAAGAGCCUCGCGCGAUUGGAGCGGCCGAUAUCAGAUUAGGUAGUUGGUGGGGUAAAGGCUCACCAAGCCAACGAUCUGUAGCUGGUCUGAGAGGACGACCAGCCACACUGGAACUGAGACACGGUCCAGACUCCUACGGGAGGCAGCAGUGGGGAAUUUUGGACAAUGGACGCAAGUCUGAUCCAGCCAUUCCGCGUGCAGGAUGAAGGCCCUCGGGUUGUAAACUGCUUUUGUACGGAACGAAAAGGUCUCUCUUAAUACGAGGGGCUCAUGACGGUACCGUAAGAAUAAGCACCGGCUAACUACGUG
rnacentral:rRNA from 1 species